rnacentral:rRNA from 1 species
GACGAACGCUGGCGGCGUGCUUAACACAUGCAAGUCGAACGGUAAGGCCCUGCUUUUGUGGGGUGCACGAGUGGCGAACGGGUGAGUAACACGUGAGUAACCUGCCCUUGACUUUGGGAUAACUUCAGGAAACUGGGGCUAAUACCGGAUAGGAGCUCCUGCUGCAUGGUGGGGGUUGGAAAGUUUCGGUGGUUGGGGAUGGUCUCGGUGCUUAUGAGCUUGUUGGUGGGGUAGUGGUUUACCACGGCCUGGACGGGUCGGCGGCCCGGGAAGGUGGGCGGCCACAUUGGGACCGGGAUACGGCCCAGGGCACUACGGGGGGCAAGAGGUGGGAAUGUGGCACAAUGGGCCGGCGCCGGAGGGAGCAGCGUCGCGGGCGGGGUGUCGGGCUUCGGGUUGGAAACCGCUUUCGCCGGUGACGUAGCGGUAGUGACGGUAAUGGGUAAAGAAGCACCGGCUAACUACGUG